ACGAACGCUGGCGGCGUGCUUAACACAUGCAAGUCGAACGGAAAGGCCCUGCUUUUGUGGGGUGCUCGAGUGGCGAACGGGUGAGUAACACGUGAGUAACCUGCCCUUGACUUUGGGAUAACUUCAGGAAACUGGGGCUAAUACCGGAUAGGAGCUCCUGCUGCAUGGUGGGGGUUGGAAAGUUUCGGCGGUUGGGGAUGGACUCGCGGCUUAUCAGCUUGUUGGUGGGGUAGUGGCUUACCAAGGCUUUGACGGGUAGCCGGCCUGAGAGGGUGACCGGCCACAUUGGGACUGAGAUACGGCCCAGACUCCUACGGGAGGCAGGAGUGGGGAAUAUUGCACAAUGGGCGGAAGCCUGAUGCAGCAACGCCGCGUGCGGGAUGACGGCCUUCGGGUUGUAAACCGCUUUCGCCUGUGACGAAGCGUGAGUGACGGUAAUGGGUAAAGAAGCACCGGCUAACUACGU
rnacentral:rRNA from 1 species